GACGAACGCUGGCGGCGUGCUUAACACAUGCAAGUCGAACGGAAAGGCCCUGCUUUUGUGGGGUGCUCGAGUGGCGAACGGGUGCGUAACACGUGAGUAACCUGCCCUUGCCUUUGGGAUAACUUCAGGAAACUGGGGCUAAUACCGGAUAGGAGCUCCUGCUGCAUGGUGGGGGUUGGAAAGUUUCGGCGGUUGGGGAUGGACUCGCGGCUUAUCAGCUUGUUGGUGGGGUAGUGGCUUACCAAGGCUUUGACGGGUAGCCGGCCUGAGAGGGUGACCGGCCACAUUGGGACUGAGAUACGGCCCAGACUCCUACGGGAGGCAGCAGUGGGGAAUAUUGCACAAUGGGCGGAAGCCUGAUGCAGCAACGCCGCGUGCGGGAUGACGGCCUUCGGGUUGUAAACCGCUUUCGCCUGUGACGCAGCGUGAGUGACGGUAAUGGGUAAAGAAGCACCGGCUAACUACGUG
rnacentral:rRNA from 1 species